rnacentral:rRNA from 1 species
GACGAACGCUGGCGGCGUGCUUAACACGUGCAAGUCGAACGGAAAGGCCCUGCUGUUGUGGGGUGCUCGAGUGGCGAACGGGUGGGUAACACGUGAGUAACCUGCCCUUGACUUUGGGAUAACUUCAGGAAACUGGGGCGAAUACCGGAUAGGAGCUCCUGCUGCAUGGUGGGGGUUGGAAAGUUUCGGCGGUUGGGGAUGGACUCGCGGCUUAUCAGCUUGUUGGUGGGGUAGUGGCUUACCAAGGCUUUGACGGGUAGCCGGCCUGAGAGGGUGACCGGCCACCUUGGGACUGAGAUACGGCCCAGACUCCUACGGGCGGCAGCAGUGGGGAAUCUUGCACAAUGGGCCGAAGCCUGAUGCAGAAACGCCGCGUGCGGGAUAACGGCCUUCGGGUUGUAAACCGCUUUCGCCUGUGCCGAAGCGUGCGUGACGGUAAUGGGUCAAGAAGCACCGGCUAACUACGUG